rnacentral:rRNA from 1 species
UACGUAGGGGGCUAGCGUUGUCCGGAAUUAUUGGGCGUAAAGAGCGUGUAGGCGGUCCGGUAAGUCGGCUGUGAAAGUCCAGGGCUCAACCCUGGGAUGCCUGUCGAUACUGCCGGACUAGAGUUCGGAAGAGGCGAGUGGAAUUCCCGGUGUAGCGGUGAAAUGCGCAGAUAUCGGGAGGAACACCUAUGGCGAAGGCAGCUCGCUGGGACGUUACUGACGCUGAGACGCGAAAGCGUGGGGAGCAAACAGG